AACGAACGCUGGCGGCAGGCUUAACACAUGCAAGUCGAACGAGACCUUCGGAUCUAGUGGCAGACGGGUGAGGAACACGUGGGAACAUCCCUUUCAGUUCGGAAUAACGUUGGGAAACUAACGCUAAUACCGGAUACGUCCUUCGGGAGAAAGAUUUAUCGCUGAAAGAUUGGCCCGCGUCUGCGUAGCUAGUUGGUGAGGUAACGGCUCACCAAGGCUACGAUCAGUAGCUGAUCUGAGAGGAUGAUCAGCCACAUUGGGACUGAGACACGGCCCAACCUUCUACGGGAGGCAGCAGUGGGGAAUAUUGGACAAGUGGCGCAAGCCUGAUCCAGCCAUGCCGCGUGAUUGAUGACGGCCUUCGGGUUGUAAAGCUCUUUUUUCCGAGAAGAUAAUGACUGUACCGGAAGAAUAAGCCCCGGCAAACUUCGUGCCAGCCGCCGCUGUAA
rnacentral:rRNA from 1 species